AGUGAACGCUGGCGGUAGGCCUAACACAUGCAAGUCGAACGGCAGCACAGUAAGAGCUUGCUCUUACGGGUGGCGAGUGGCGGACGGGUGAGGAAUACAUCGGAAUCUACUUUUUCGUGGGGGAUAACGUAGGGAAACUUACGCUAAUACCGCAUACGACCUACGGGUGAAAGCAGGGGAUCUUCGGACCUUGCGCGAUUGAAUGAGCCGAUGUCGGAUUAGCUAGUUGGCGGGGUAAAGGCCCACCAAGGCGACGAUCCGUAGCUGGUCUGAGAGGAUGAUCAGCCACACUGGAACUGAGACACGGUCCAGACUCCUACGGGAGGCAGCAGUGGGGAAUAUUGGACAAUGGGCGCAAGCCUGAUCCAGCCAUGCCGCGUGGGUGAAGAAGGCCUUCGUGUUGUAAAGCCCUUUUGUUGGGAAAGAAAAGCAGCAGGUUAAUACCCCGCUGUUCUGACGGUACCCAAAGAAUAAGCACCGGCUAACUUCGUG
rnacentral:rRNA from 1 species